rnacentral:lncRNA from 10 species
CUUUUCGAGGUAGGAGUCGACUCCUGUGAGGUAUGUUUUAUCUUUGCGAAUGUUGCGGGUUUUGGGGCGCUCCAGCCUUUGUCUGCUAAGGUCACCCUGAAUUGACUGGGACUUCUAAGCCAGUCGCGCGCCUUUGCAGGGCCUACAAGUUGAGGAUGGUGGGGGAUUGCACAUAUGGUGCAUGCGUGACCUAAGCUGCGACUAUGUUAGAGUAGAACUGCGGAGAAGCCUCGGCUCUCGUGCCCUGCCUCUGAUGAAGCCUGUGUUGGUAGGGACAUCUGAGAGUAAUGAUGAAUGCCAACCGCUCUGAUGGUGGCACAUGCCGAGUCACCCGAGUAAGCUAUUGUUAAGGGCCGUGACCCGAGCCUCCAUCAGCCGUCCGCUCUCAUGAAAGGCUGUCGGUGGUAGUCCACGUGCUUAAGUGCCUGCAUUCCGCAGUGUCACCAAUAUUUCCAUUAGUGUUUCUUUUUUCUUUUUUGAGACCGAGCCUCGUUCUGUCACCCAGGCUGGAAUGCAGUGGCUCGACAUCGGUUAAUGGCAACCUCCGCGUCCCGAGUUAAGCAGUUCUGCCUCAGCCUCCCAAGUAACUGGGACUACAGGCGCGCGCCACCAUGCUAGGCUUUUAUAUUUUUAGUAGAGACGGGGUUUCACCAUGUUGGCGAGACUGGUCUUGAACUCCUGACCUCAGGUGAUCCACCAGCCGUGGUCCCCCAACAUACUGGGAUUACAAGCCGUGAGCCACCGCGCCCGGCCGCCAUCGGUGGUUCUUAACUGCGGGUGCAGUGCUUCUUUGUAACAUUAAGUGUAUCCUUUACCUGUCGCUAGAUAAUGAAUGGUAUGUUACCUGCAUCAUUGGUUUAAAAAGACGAACCGUUUUUUUAAAGAACACUCUUUAAAAAAAAGAACCGUGGAACAAUGAAUUAAAAUCUGUACCUGAUCUCUUUAGGUAUGGUGCUGGGUGCAGAUGCAGUGUGGCUCUGGAUAGCACCUUAUGGACAGUUGUGUCCCCAAGGAAGGAUGAGAAUAGCUACUGAAGUCCUAAAGAGCAAGCCUAACUCAAGCCAUUGGCACACAGGCAUUAGACAGAAAGCUGGAAGUUGAAAUGGUGGAGUCCAACUUGCCUGGACCAGCUUAAUGGUUCUGCUCCUGGUAACGUUUUUAUCCAUGGAUGACUUGCUUGGGUAAGGACAUGAAGACAGUUCCUGUCAUACCUUUUAAAGGUAUGGAGAGUCGGCUUGACUACACUGUGUGGAGCAAGUUUUAAAGAAGCAAAGGACUCAGAAUUCAUGAUUGAAGAAAUGCAGGUUAGUUUAAACUUUGAAGGAAAUUUUUAAGGUGGCAAAAGGUUUUGGUGGCAUAUACACCUUAAUCUGUAGAUGGGAGUGAUUAGCUGUUUAAAAGUUAAAAUGUGACUGAGAAGGAAAUUGAGUAGGGCAAAUUUUAAAUGGGUAUUAUUUUUCAUCUUCAAACAGGCAGACCUGUUAUCCUAAACUAGGGUUUUUAAUGACCACAACAAGCAAGCAUGCAGCUUACUGCUUGAAAGGGUCUUGCCUCACCCAAGCUAGAGUGCAGUGGCCUUUGAAGCUUACUACAGCCUCAAACUUCUGGGCUCAAGUGAUCCUCAGCCUCCCAGUGGUCUUUGUAGACUGCCUGAUGGAGUCUCAUGGCACAAGAAGAUUAAAACAGUGUCUCCAAUUUUAAUAAAUUUUUGCAAUCCA